AUUGAACGCUGGCGGAAUGCUUUACACAUGCAAGUCGAACGGCAGCACGGGGGCAGCCCUGGUGGCGAGUGGCGAACGGGUGAGUAAUACAUCGGAACGUGCCCGGUCGUGGGGGAUAACGUAGCGAAAGUUACGCUAAUACCGCAUACGAUCUGAGGAUGAAAGCGGGGGACCUUCGGGCCUCGCGCGAUCGGAGCGGCCGAUGUCAGAUUAGGUAGUUGGUGGGGUAAAGGCCUACCAAGCCGAGGAUCUGUAGCUGGUCUGAGAGGACGACCAGCCACACUGGGACUGAGACACGGCCCAGACUCCUACGGGAGGCAGCAGUGGGGAAUUUUGGACAAUGGGCGCAAGCCUGAUCCAGCCAUUCCGCGUGCAGGACGAAGGCCUUCGGGUUGUAAACUGCUUUUGUACGGAACGAAAAGGCUCUGGCUAAUACCUGGGGCUCAUGACGGUACCGUAAGAAUAAGCACCGGCUAACUACGUG
rnacentral:rRNA from 1 species